rnacentral:piRNA from 1 species
UAAAUGUGUUCAUUUGUUGUGGCCAGUGCUU